UGUCUUGGCUGUUGGUCUUACUGUCCUGAUGGUUGCUGUUGUGGGUGUUUUGCCCAUGAUCGUCACCACCCUGGGUGUUGCUUUGGCUGUCACUGUUCUGGGUGCUGGGCUGGCUAGCAGUGUUGCUGCCAGACUGCCCGCCAUUGUUCUGGUUGGUGUCUUGGCCCUCAGUGUUUUUUUCUUCCUCUUUGCCAGAUUGUUGCCCUGUCUCUCCGGACGGGUUCUUCCCCUGCUCACUCUGGUCUUUCUUUUGCUCUUCAUCACCUGCACCUCUCUCCUCAUUUGCUGUCCCUCUGUUACCUUCAUUUUGUGCCUUGUUGGAUUCUUCGUCUUUUACUGAAGGGUUGGACUCUGAGCGCUCUGAUUCCUGCCCCCCACCUGCGCCCCCGGUCCCAACAUCAUUCCCGUUUGCGGCCUCGGCAGCAAUGCCAAGCAGCAGCAGUAGCAGCAGCAGGAGGAGCGAGAGCAGCCGCAGCGCCAUUCCGGCCCCACUCCUCUCACCCGGCUACG
rnacentral:lncRNA from 1 species